GGCAAUCAGGAUUAAUCUGAAGUUUGUACAGUUCUGGAGAUCUGAAAUCUGAAUUCAAGGUGUCAGCAGAGCUGUGCUUCCUGCAAAGUUUAUAGAUGUGAUGGGUCUUCACCUCUGGCCUGCAGGUGACAUGGAAUGCUGCCCCUUCCCAGUGGCUUCCCACAAGGGAGAGAG